AGCUUUGAGCAGUGGCAAUAUCGUAACCAAUGAGGUCUAUCCGAGGUGCGAUUAUUGCUAGUUUUUUGUCUGACCUUCAAUGAGGGAAUAUAUAUAUAUAUUGGUGAUUAAUCCUUAUGAACAUUAACAUUAAU